UAGUGCUAAUCUUUUAAUAAAAGAUCCCAUUACAAUGGGAUCUGUCUGGACAGACUAUAAUAGAUCCAGAAAUACAGCCGUGCUAAUAUUAGAAGACAGUUGUUUGGGUGCCUCAGGCCGGGCCCUACUCCCGCUUUGAAAGUGGGCAUGAAUCACAAUGUCCCUCGGUACCACCUGCGGUCACACGCAUUAAGGAGCAGACUGGAUUUCAUCUGAAGAGCUCAAGAGAGGAACAUGCAUUGUGCUUCAAAGUUAAUGAGAACACCCUUAAGUAGUGCUGAGAGCCACUUCAAAACACUGCAGAACAAUUUUACAGGAUAGAGUCAUCAGAGCAUUACGAAAAACCAUCUUCUGAAAGCCAUUGUGGACUACUUUGUCAUCAGGCCAGUUGGAUCUCAUUUGGACUGCUUGUCAUCAGCUCUCUACAAUAGUUUAUUUUGUUGUCACAAGCCCAGGCAACCUUUUCUGAGGUUUGGCCUUUAGCUGAUUGUGUAGGAUUCUCUGUUAAUCCAGUAGAGGAUUGUGAGAGUGCUGAUCUGAAUAGGUAAGCAAAUAAAGAUUUGUAUUGAGGGGAACAUCAAAAGGACAUGCUAGACACAAUUUUGCAAAACUUUUAAAUGCCAUUCUUUGGAACAUCUCAAAUCACAAGUCAGCAUUAAAAAAAAAAUAAAUCAGCCCACACAAAAUUUUCUUAUUCUGAAUUUAGUUCCACGGAAACAUAUGAUACUGUUUGUACUGCAAAUUGAAAGUGCUGUAGAUCUGGCUGAUGGGAACUGUGCAAUCAUCUAUACAUAAUCUUGUAAGGUCUUUAUAUUGUCUCUCACAGCUCUUGUGGGUGGCACAAUUGUAACUAAAUCCAUGUGUAUUCCCACUGAAAAAAAUGCCUGGCAUCCUGAAUAUAUUGUUUCCUGUUUCAGAAAGAGGACUUCCUUCUCUGAGCUCAAACAGUAUUUCUGCAUUUUAAAUCACGUACCUGACUUUCUGGUCAGACAUGGUGAACUUAGCAAAUGAAGAGUUGAAAUAGUCACUUUUAUUUAAGAGAGCAGCUAUUGUCUAUUUGUCAUCCAUUUCCUGGGCACAUGCAAGGUCUGACAGUGCUCAGCAUUGUCCCAAAAUAUUAUUUUCUUGUCUGUCUGGAUUGUCUUGAUUGUCAGUGCAUCCCUACACUGAAUACUAAGAUCAUCUUCAAAAAAAUUAGUUGUUCAGAGAUUGUAGGAACCAGUGAUUGUCCAUAGUGCAAAUUAUCACACUACAUAAGGAACUCUACCCACACAUUGUUAGGUAGGAGAAGCCAAAGGAAGUGUUUGAGUGCAUGAGAAGAAAAAGGUGUUUAAAAAACUAUCCACCAACAGAGCAUUCUGAUUGCAGCCUCGACUGACUCUGGAGUCUCUGUGAUCACCGCCAGACAGGAUCUCCACCAAGUGUGGCUUGGCCCAAGAGGACUACUUGGUCCAUACAAGCUGCACCAGCAGGAAUAGGAGGGCCGUCUAAACCAGAUCAAGGGAUGCGACAAGUGCUUUUUAGUGUUGUUAAAUAGCUCUGAGACCUGGAUGAGUUCAGCUAUUAGUACUGCCUUCCAUCUUUUUGCCUUGCUCUUCAAGCACUUUAUUUUCCACAAAACCCAAAUUAAUCCAAUCACAAAUG